UCAGAACCCCUCCUAAUAGUCUCUAGCUCAGCUAUACGCUCGUCCCGAAGCUUCUGAAAUCGAUCCUGUAAUGUAUUCCGUAUACGUAUGUUAAUUAUAUCAUUUUAUUUACGAUUGAAUAUUAUUAAAAGCUAAAUAGUAAGAUAAGUUUUACCCGUAUAGCUAAAGCUGCCUGAGACAAAGCACGCUCGUCCUUAGGCGUGUGGGCUCGAUCCCAAAACUCUAGCAUGGUAGGAUCUCGGCCCAAGGUCCUCCCCAAUGCCUAAUACAAACAUUCAUAAAACAGGUCUUAAGUAUUUGUGUGAAAACUUGACACAUAAAUAACUAAAUACAACGCACUUACCGUCUUCGCCUCCUCGAACGACUGAGAACCAGUGGUGUGUACUAUCCGGAGCUGACCACGGUUCUUCUUCGCCUGCUCAGACUUUUUCUUGAAGUCAUCAGCCUCCCAGUGCAGACACAUAGCAUCCUAGGCUAAAUCAAAGACUAUGCGGGGCUGAUGAUCUCUGAUGGUGGUCCCGGGCUGGUCCACAACUGCCCGGGCUGCCUUCUGUCGCAUCUCAUACAACCAUCCAGAGUAAUUCGCAGCGACGUGAUGCUCAAUCACAGCAUCG
rnacentral:lncRNA from 1 species